GACGAACGCUGGCGGCGUGCUUAACACAUGCAAGUCGAACGGAAAGGCCCUGCUUUUGUGGGGUGCUCGAGUGGCGAGCGGGUGAGUAACACGUGAGUAACCUGCCCUUGACUGUGGGAUAACUUCAGGGAACUGGGGCUAAUACCGGAUAGGAGCUCCUGCUGCAUGGUGGGGGUUGGAAAGUUUCGGCGGUUGGGGAUGGACUCGCGGCUUAUGAGCUUGUUGGUGGGGUAGUGGCUUACCAAGGCUUUGACGGGUAGCCGGCCUGAGAGGGUGACCGGCGACAUUGGGACUGCGAUAGGGACCAGACUCCUACGGGAGGCAGUAGUGGGGAAUAUUGCAGAAUGGCGGGAAGCGUGAUGCAGAAACGCCGCGUGCGGGAUGACGGCCUUCGGGGUGUAAACCGCUUUCGCAUGUGACGAAGCGUGAGUGACGGUAAUGGGUAAGGAAGCAACGGCUAACUACGUG
rnacentral:rRNA from 1 species